ACACCCACCCAGCAGGGAGGAGAUACCAUGAUCAAGAAGGUGAUUUUCCCAGAGCGAGGUUUAUUCACUGCGCUCCGGAUGUGCUGAUCUCAAAAGCAGGAAACUGACUGCACAGUUUGUGAUAGUGGGGACUGCCCCAU
rnacentral:snRNA from 1 species